UAGCUCAGCUGGUUAGAGUACUUGCUUGACAGGCAAGGGGUCACUGGUUCGAUCCCAGU
rnacentral:tRNA from 1 species